rnacentral:lncRNA from 1 species
UUUCUCGAGGCGACUUCGGUAAAUCUCCAAUAUUUCUUGCUUUUUUUUUUUUUUUUUGAAUUCUUUCAGUUUGCAUGAAUUCAUUGGAUCGACGGUGAGUUAGGAUUCCAAGAAUCGAAUGUAUGCGCCCUCCACCGUUUUUUGGCUUGCCUAUUUUCAAGAUUUCGAGGCUUUGAGCUGGUUUUGGUUUUGUUUUGGAGGGGG